rnacentral:rRNA from 1 species
UACGUAGGGCGCAAGCGUUGUCCGGAAUUAUUGGGCGUAAAGAGCUCGUAGGUGGUUUGUUACGUCUGCUGUGAAAACCUAGGGCUUAACCCUGGGCCUGCAGUGGAUACGGGCAGACUAGAGGUAGGUAGGGGAGAAUGGAAUUCCCGGUGUAGCGGUGAAAUGCGCAGAUAUCGGGAGGAACACCAGUGGCGAAGGCGAUCAUCUGGGGUUGUUCUGACACUGAGGAGCGAAAGCUAGGGGAGCAAACGGG